CAGAGUUCUGCGUGCAAGUCCAGUGGCUCUCAACCUUUCCAGACUACUGUACACGUUUCAGGAGUUGAUUUGUCUUGUAUAUCUCCCAGUCAUACCUCACUUAAAAACUACUUGCUUACAAAAUCAGACUUAAAAAUACAAAAGUGUCACAGCACA